rnacentral:tRNA from 1 species
GCCCGGGUGGCGGAACUGGUAGACGCAGGGGACUUAAAAUCCCCCAGCCACGUGCUAUGUGGGUUCGAGUCCCACCCCGGGCACCA